GACGAACGCUGGCGGCGUGCUUAACACAUGCAAGUCGAACGGAAAGGCCCUGCUUGCAGGGUACUCGAGUGGCGAACGGGUGAGUAACACGUGGGUGAUUUGCCCUGCACUUCGGGAUAAGCUUGGUAAACUGGGUCUAAUACCGGAUAGGAGCCAUUUUUAGCGUGAUGGUUGGAAAGUUUUUUCGGGUUAGGAUGAGCUCGCGGCCUAUCAGCUUGGUGGUGGGGUAAUGGCCUACCAAGGCGGCGUCGGGUAGCCGCACUGAGGGGGUGGACGGCCACAUUGGCACUGAGAUACGGCCCAGGUUCCUACGGUAGGCAGCAGUGGGGAAUCUUGCACAAUGGGCGCAGGCCUGAUGAAGCGGCGCCGCGUGGGGGAAGACGGCCUUCGGGUUGUAAACUCCUUUCGCUAGGGACGAAGCUUUUUGUGACGGUACCUAGAUAAGAAGCACCGGCUAACUACGUG
rnacentral:rRNA from 1 species